UCUUCAUGUUGGGAUUCCUCACUCUGAGUGAAUCAGAUAGUUGAAAUGAUAUUUUUGCUGGCAUGUAAAGUUUGUGUUUCUCUUUUUUAGGACUGUUGCCCAGUUUGACAGCUUGAAAGCUUUCACUCGAAUGGAUCAAUCACACUUCUAUCUGAAACCCCUGGCUUCUCUGUUUGCUUGUCCUGCGCAAUCUCUGGUUCUUCACAAGGCCGAGAUCAGAGAAGAAGGAAACAGUGGUGCUACAAUUUUGUCUCUGAAUUCAAGUCAGCCUGGGGGAUUCCUUUGAGUAUGUGCAGCAAAGCCUUGAAGAGAGCCUGACUAUCGAUUCAAGAUGUCAUCAAGAAACUAACACACAACACCGCGCUACUCCAGCAGUAAGUAAGAAAAUAUUGUCUGCCUAGCCUGUCUGUCUGCCUAGCCUGGCUGCCUGCCUGUUGCAGUUGAAUCUCUUUCGUAACUUUUUGUCCCAGCCUUUGCAUCGCUGGUUCCUCAUAUGUUGCCUCUCUUUGUUUUAGCUUGAGAACCAUUCCUCAGUAGGCAGCUAAUUCAACACUGCUGUGGCUGUCUUAACUCUUCUGCUGCACAAUCUCUUUUUGAUUCAUCACAAUGUGAAGCUUAGCUUAUGCAGCUUGCUGAAUGCAUUCGUAAUCUUCUUGUCUAAUUAAAGGCUUGGAUAUAUUAGAGUCUUCAUGAAUCUUCAUGAAAGAAUACGCUUUUGUGUCCUGUUGUCAAACUGGUAAAUUUCUGUUGCCAGAAUGGUUUGCUUUUGCAAAGGGAAACAGCUGUUAUGAUGGAGACAGCGGUGGCGCAUUGAUUGCACAAUACGUGUCUCAACUCAACUCAGCCUUUUCGCUGUUCCUACAUCUCUCUGAAUCUUCCUGUAUUUCACUUCAGCUUCUCCGGUUCUGAAGAAAAGCAAAGUUGGACGACAAGGCAGUGCUUUUGUGUGUUGAAGAAUCCCUCCCAGCUUUUUAUGGUAGUGGGACGGCCACAUGCUGACUGGAUGUGAAGGAGUCCGAAGGAGACCGGUGCAGCUCCUUAUGUAGAUCAGGGGAGAAUGAAACAGUGGUGCCAUUACUUUGUCUUCAAAUUCAAGUCAUCCUGAAGGAUUUCUUUGAGCAAGUGCAGCAAGGCCCUGAAGAGUGCCUGGCCAUUGAUUCCUGAAGAACUUUUCACAUGAGACCAGCACUACUUCAGCAGUAAUAUGCUGAUGUGAUGGAUUACGAGAAUGGUUUCAGACUUUGGAGUUGGGAGGGCUGCUGAGUGUGUUUGUCAACUUUUGGUGAGUCUGUUCCUUGUUGAGUCUGUGACUGAAUGUACGUGGUGCUACAUAUGUACACAAUUGU